AUACGGAGGGGGUUAGCGUUGUUCGGAAUUACUGGGCGUAAAGCGCACGUAGGCGGACUGGAAAGUUGGGGGUGAAAUCCCGGGGCUCAACCUCGGAACUGCCUCCAAAACUUCCAAUCUAGAGAUCGAGAGAGGUGAGUGGAAUUCCAAGUGUAGAGGUGAAAUUCGUAGAUAUUUGGAGGAACACCAGUGGCGAAGGCGGCUCACUGGCUCGAUACUGACGCUGAGGUGCGAAAGCGUGGGGAGCAAACAGGAUUAGAAACCCCGGUAGUCC
rnacentral:rRNA from 1 species